rnacentral:rRNA from 1 species
UACGAAGGGGGCUAGCGUUGUUCGGAUUUACUGGGCGUAAAGCGCACGUAGGCGGAUCGUUAAGUCGGGGGUGAAAUCCUGGAGCUCAACUCCAGAACUGCCUUCGAUACUGGCGAUCUAGAGUCCGGAAGAGGUGAGUGGAACUCCUAGUGUAGAGGUGGAAUUCGUAGAUAUUAGGAAGAACACCAGUGGCGAAGGCGGCUCACUGGUCCGGUACUGACGCUGGGGUGCGAAAGCGUGGGGAGCAAACAGG